AACGAACGCUGGCGGCAUGCCUAAUACAUGCAAGUCGAACGAGGAUAUCCGCUGCUUUCGGGGAAUGGUAGAUUAGCGAAGGGGUGAUUAACACGUGGUGAGCCUACCCACGAGAGGGGGAUAACAUUCGGAGACAGAUUCUAAGACCCCAUAAUUCUUUGGACCGCGUUGGCCAGAGACUAGAUACGGCUGUUGCUGGCGUUCAUGCAUAGCACGGCGCCGUAUUAGCUCGUUGGUGAGGGAAUGGCUCACCAAAGCUGUGAUACGUAGCCGACCUGAGAGGGUGAUCGGCCACACUGGGACUGAGAAACGGCCCAGACUCCUACGGGAGGCAGCAGUAGGGAAUCUUACGCAAUGGGCGAAAGCCUGAUGGAGCAAUGCCGCGUGAAUGAAGAAGGUCUUCGGACCGUAAAGUUCUGUAAUUAGAGAAGAACAAGUCAAGGUGUAACUGUCAUGAUUUUGACGGUACCUAAACAGAAAGCCACGGCUAACUACGUG
rnacentral:rRNA from 1 species